rnacentral:rRNA from 1 species
GAUGAACGCUGGCGGCGUGCCUAAUACAUGCAAGUCGAACGCGAGAGGAGGGAGCUUGCUCCCUCUGAUCGAGUGGCGGACGGGUGAGUAACACGUAGGCAACCUGCCCAUCAGUCCGGGAUAACCGCGGGAAACCGUGGCUAAUACCGUAUGAUCCUCUCCACCGCGGGGUGGGGAGUUGAAAGACGGUUUCGGCUGUCGCUGCUGGAUGGGCCUGCGGCGCAUUAGCUGGUUGGCGGGGUAACGGCCCACCAAGGCAACGAUGCGUAGCCGACCUGAGAGGGUGAUCGGCCACACUGGGACUGAGACACGGCCCAGACUCCUACGGGAGGCAGCAGUAGGGAAUCUUCCGCAAUGGACGCAAGUCCGACGGAGCAACGCCGCAUGAGUGAAGAAGGGUCUCGGCUCGUAAAACUCUGUUGUUAAGGAAGAACGACAGGUAGAGUAACUGCUACCUGUGUGACGGUACUUAACCAGAAAGCCACGGCUAACUACGUGCCAGCCGCCGCCGUAA